UCCACGUUGGGACAUUGGUUGAUCUUAGCUUUACUAGCUGCUGCUGCUUCAUUCCGUCCAUUUACACAAAUUCAAUAUCUCUUCCAGCCUGAGGUAGCAAGAAUCAUCAGGAAGAAGUCAAUUGGGUUAAAACUCUCUAUCCUCCGAGUUGCUCAUUUUAAGAACUGCAUGACCACAUUAAACAUAUUGGACUAAGUUAUAAAUUUGUUCAUAAAUAAGUGACGAAAAAUAGUACACACUUUCUCCGUAUCAAACAAAAAUCCUGAUGUCAAAGUCUCCGUUUUUCUGGUUAAAGUCAUCGCUCUCUAACUUGUAUUUCUUUCCUUCAUAGCUUUUCUUUAAUCUUUCAUUUCAAAAGAGAGAGAGUGUUAGAGAUAUUUUUCUGUUUCAACGAUGAAUAAUUAUGGGGAAAGCAAUGGAGAUUCAAAUGUCCAUGAAAAACAAGUUGAAGGUCAUGAUCACUGUGAAAAUGGAGAUGGGUCUGAUAAUAGAGUCAUUUUGGGGAUUGAUGGUGGGACUACUUCAACUGUUUGUGUCUGCAUUCCUUUAUUUUCUUCCUCAAAAUCCCUCCCUAACCCUCCUCCUAUCCUUGGACGUGCUGUUUCUGGUUGCUCCAAUCAUAACAGCGUUGGAGAAACUGCUGCCAGGGACACAUUGAAAGAGGUUAUGGCUGAAGCCCUCUCAAAAUCAGGUUCUGAUUGGUCGGCUGUUCAUGCUGUUUGUUUAGGCGUUUCUGGUGUUAACCAUCCAACUGAUCAAGAAAGGAUACUAAACUGGCUAAGAGAAAUAUUUCCUAGCCAUGUGAAGUUGUAUGUUCAGAAUGAUGCUGUUGCUGCUCUUGCAAGUGGGACCAUGGGAAAGCUUCAUGGCUGUGUAUUAAUUGCUGGUACGGGGUGCAUUUCUUAUGGAUUUGCUGAAGAUGGCAGAGAAGCUCGAGCUUCAGGUGCAGGACCUGUCCUAGGUGAUUGGGGGAGGUAUGCGCUAUACACUCGUGGAUAUGGAAUUGCUGCAAAGGCACUGACUGCAGUAAUAAGGGCUCAUGAUGGUCGUGGUCCACAGACAAUGCUAACAAAUAAGAUUUUGGAGGCGCUCAGCCUCUCGUCUCCUGAUGAACUUAUCGGGUGGACUUAUGCUGAUCCAUCUUGGGCACGCAUUGCAGCACUUGUUCCAGAAGUGGUAUCUUGUGCAGAAGCUUGCGAUCAAGUAGCAACUAAGAUCUUGGUCAAUGCAGUCCAGGACUUGGCUCUAAGUGUGAAGGCUGUUGUCCAAAGACUUCAUUUGUGCGGUGAAGACUUUUUUUCCUUGCAGAUGGAAAUGGUUCUUUCCCGGUUGUGAUGGUUGGUGGUGUUCUCGAAGCUAACAGGACUUGGGAUAUUGGGAAAGAAGUUAUGAAAUGUAUUCAGGAGCAGUUUCCUGGGGCUCAUCCCAUUAGACCACAGGUGGAACCAGCAGUUGGGGCAGCGUUGCUGGCCUGGAAUUUCUUGAUGAAAGAAUCAACAGGGAACUCCCAUAGCUGACUGGUUCCGUUUUAGGGUGCUGAAUUCUCUACUGUACAGAUCAAGAUAUAGGAAGGUUUCUUGGAAAUAAAAUGUAUUUAGUGAAAUUCUUAUGUGCGUUCUGCCUUCAUUUAAGGAAAAAAAAAAUGAGAAGCAGCUACUUGUUCAUGAUUUAACCCUUGGCACAUCCAUUUCAUUCUUUAACUUCCACAUGUUUUGGAAGAAUAUUUCACGCUUGUUCUCCCCAUUUUUCAGCUGUACGUAAAGAUACUGAAAGACUAGAGAAUUGAUGGUAAAAGCAUUUAACAUGCCUUUUUGUCU